UAUGGCUGUCAUGACUUCAAUUGACUAAAUACAGUUACCAUGUUUUUUUGUUAAUCUAUGCAGGUUUGUCAUAUGAUUUCCAGGUUCCUGGCGGAGAUUAAUACAAUAAUACUCCAAGGCAAGACAUUUCCCUACAUCCAGGUUGAGGCCUUCUACCAACAGGAACAUGGAGCACUCCAUGUCAGUGCUACAGAGACGGAAUAUUCCAAGGACCUCCAGAGCCUUCAGACCAACUACCAGAGCACAGAGAAGUGAGUCUGCUGGGCCAUGGAAGUCUAGAGCAACACAUCAAAAAACCUGCCACCAUGUUGUCAGCUAUCAGCAGACCGUUCCCUGAGGAAGGAUGCACCUAUCAAGGCUUUAAAUGGUCAAAUUUGGGGGAUGACCACCAAAUGCUAUAAAGUUUGGUAUAAGUUACUCAUGGCCAUUUUUUUGUAAGUUACAAAAAAAUUACUUUAUUUGCCUGUUAUUUUUACUAACUACUCUGGUAACUGAAACAUCUGACAACAUGCAUACUUUCUCCAUCGUUGAAAGUCUCAUAUCCAGGGUGAAUACAUUUUUAUUAAUGUAUAUAAGACAUCACAGAAGCAUUGACUAAUACUGUACCUCUAGGGUCAUGUGGUGGUCUGGCACCAUGCUGGUUUCUAGUGAUCUUACUCCCUCUCCACCUGAAAUGCAAUAACAAACACAUGAAUAACAAUACGCCUAGUCAGUCAGUAACUAGGCUAAUUAAACACAAUGUGCACGUCAGCCAAAUGAUACCCAACCAACACAGCCAAGUAGUCUAUUUGCAGUGAAAUUGGGAGGUGCAUUUGUCUUGCCAACUUUUUCAGUCACCAAUUAAUAAUUAAACAUGCAGUGGAAUGAAGUAGUGUGUUCAAAAGUCAGU